rnacentral:rRNA from 1 species
UCGAACGCGAAAGUCCCCUUCGGGGGGCAAGUAGAGUGGCGCACGGGUGAGUAACACGUAGGUAAUCUACCUUUGGAUUGGGAAUAACAACCGGAAACGGUUGCUAAUACCGAAUAAUGCAGCGGCACCUAAUGGUGACAGUUGUUAAAGCGGGGGAUCGCAAGACCUCGCGUCUGAAGAGGAGCCUGCGGCAGAUUAGCUAGUUGGUAAGGUAACGGCUUACCAAGGCGAUGAUCUGUAGCCGGCCUGAGAGGGCGGUCGGCCACACUGACACUGACAUACGGGUCAGACUCCUACGGGAGGCAGCAGUCGGGAAUUUUGGGCAAUGGGCGAAAGCCUGACCCAGCAACGCCGCGUGAAGGAUGAAAUCCCUCGGGAUGUAAACUUCGCAAGAACGGGAAGAAUAAGUAAGAGUUAAUAUCUCUUAUGAUGACGGUACUGUUUGUAAGCUCCGGCUAACUCCGUGCCAGCAGCCGCGGUAAUACGGGGGGAGCAAGCGUUGUUCGGAUUUACUGGGCGUAAAGGGCGCGUAGGCGGCCACCGCAAGUCGACUGUGAAAUCUCCGGGCUUAACCCGGAAAGGUCAGCCGAUACUGGGGGGCUAGAGUACAGAAGGGGCAACUGGAAUUCUCGGUGUAGCGGAGAAAUGCGUAGAUAUCGAGAGGAACACCUGCGGCGAAGGCGGGUUGCUGGGCUGACACUGACGCUGAUGCGCGAAAGCUAGGGGAGCGAACGGGAUUAGAUACCCCGGUAGUCCUAG